GUAAAGCAUUCAACCUGUUUGAUAAAGCCAACUAUUCAUGCUCUAAUAGCUUAAUAGUCAAAAUGAAUUUCACAUUAAAUUAUCAUUUCAUAUGCACAAGAAAAUUAGAUUUGUUUGUCACCAUGGCAACGGCUGCGCAUGUAGCUGCGGUAGCAAGUAGCUCCUUCAAACUUAGCUACAUUUUUGUUUUAAUUAGUCAUUUUCUCGCCUUCAUUACUGAAGCACGUACAGUAACACACUCAUCAACAUCGGAGAAGGUAGUGCAGGGACUGGAUUAAGUGCAGUGGACCUUGAGACGAUCACUGCAUCUCCCGUCCUGACAACCAGAGCAGCCGGGCCAAGCGCCGCCACAGGCGGUGUGACCGACACAGGAAGAGAGGAAAGAUAGGCGGCACAAGAGCUAAGCUAACCCAGGUCGGACCUAAGGCUGUUCCAGUACCCAGUCUACUCCUGGCUAAUGUAAAAUGGUUAAGACUCAGGCUAACUCAACAACGGGAAAGCAGAGACUGCUGUGCCGCAUCUUUACUGAGACCUGGCUGCAUCACAACAUCCCGGAUGAAGCUAUCGCACUCGACGGGCGGAGCGCGUUCCGCGCUGACAGAACUCAAGACUCCGCAAAACCGUGGUUUAGCCUACAGUUUUGAAGCGCUGGCGGAAAUGAGGCGUUUCCGCCGGCCUUCCGACGUGGUGUGCAGGGUGAAUCCGCUGUGCAGAGGAAGGUGCCGGCGUGUCUACCGGAGGCCCCUCCCAGGUGACUCCCUGAAGGCAGUUGGUGACCAAGCUGAUGAGGUCUCCUGGUCGGUCUGGCGGUCUUUCAGGGCUGACGCGAAGGUUUGGGCCAAGUCGCUGCUGGCACAGUUCUCUGGGAGAUGCUGGAUUCGAAGUUUCUUCGGCUCUAACCUAAGUUGUGUUAGAACACAGACAUUGUCCAGGCUUCUUUCAGAAGGGCUUUGCUUUCAAAGUUGGCUGGCUUCCAGCGACUUCUGUAGAGUCUGUGAUGUCAUGGCUUGUCGAAUAAAAUAUCUCUGGCUACA